GAAGUGGAUCGGAUGACCGCUGGCUGCCCUCGGGUGGCGAGAGGAAAGUCCGGGCUCCGCAGGACAGGGUGGUGGGUAACGCCCACCGGCCGCAAGGUCAGGGAAAGUGCAACAGAAAGCAAACCGCCAGGGCUGUUCGACAUGUCCGGCCCUGGUAAGGGUGAAACGGUGAGGUAAGAGCUCACCAGCAGGUUGGGUGACCAGCCUGGCUCGGCAAACCCCACCCGGAGCAAGGCCAAACAGGAAGGACGCCCGCCGGCGGCGGACGCAAGUCGGCUGCCAGCGCGCGCACGGGCUUGUCCGGCCCGGUUGACUUCCGGGUAGGCUGCUCGAGAAGCCGAGCAAUCGGCUUCCUAGAGAAAUGGUCAUCGGCCGGGCGCGCGGCAACGCCGUCCGGCGACAGAACCCGGCUUAUAGAUCCACUUCUUGU
rnacentral:RNase_P_RNA from 1 species